UAAGAUGGCUGAAAUAGUGGUGGAUUGUAGCUCCAUAUAUAAAGGUUAAAGCCCUUUUCUUAU
rnacentral:tRNA from 1 species